rnacentral:rRNA from 1 species
AACUAGUCGUCGGGUUGUCUUGUACCGGCUUCGGUCGGUCGCCCGUCGCAACUUCUUCUUAGAGGGAUCCGCGGCAUCUAGCCGCAAGAGACUGAGCAAUAACAGGUCUGUGAUGCCCUUAGAUGUUCUGGGCCGCACGCGCGCUACACUGAAGGGAUCAGCGUGUCCUUCCCUCUCCGAGAGGAGCGGGUAACCCGUUGAAACCCCUUCGUGAUAGGGAUUGGGGCUUGAAAUUUUUCCCCAUCAACGAGGAAUUCCCAGUAAGCGCAAGUCAUCAGCUUGCGUUGAUUACGUCCCUGCCCUUUGUACACACCGCCCGUCGCUACUACCGAUUGAAUGAUUUAGUGAGGCCUCCGGACUGGCGUUCCUGGCGGCCUUGGUCGCCUCGAGCUGCCGGAAAGAUGUCCAAACUUGAUCAUUUAGAGGAAGUAAAAGUCGUAACAAGGUUUCCGUAGGU